rnacentral:tmRNA from 1 species
GGGGACGUAAAGGUUUCGACGGUGGCGGUUGUAUCAUAAAUAGCGAGCCGGGGUUUCAUCUGCCCGUAAAUCGGUGAAAACGUUAAAUUAAACGCUAAAGAAGAAAAUUUUGCCUUAGCUGCUUAAUGCAGCUAACGUCUCUUUCUGCUAAUCCUGCGUGCAGAUUGCAGACGUCAUCUAGCGGGAUACCUAUCAACUUUGCCUGAAAGCUGACAAGGGAAUCUUACAGGCUGGAGCAGUUUAGUUUGUCCUUGUACGAACGCUGCUUAAGAUAAUCAACAAGGUCUGCGCUCGGAGAAGUUUAUGGGGCAGCGUUAUCGGACAGGAGUUCGACUCUCCUCGUCUCCACCA